rnacentral:rRNA from 1 species
CAACGUGGGGUAAUCUGCCCUCGGCACUGGGAUAGCCCGGGGGAAACCCGGAUUAAUACCGGAUGGCCUCUCGAGCUCUUGGGCGUCGUGAGAAAAGGUAGCUUCGGCCUCCGGCCGAGGAGGAGCCCGCGGCGGAUUAGCUUGUUGGUGAGGUAAAGGCUCACCAAGGCGACGAUCCGUAGCUGGUGUGAGAGCAUGACCAGCCACACUGGGACUGAGACACGGCCCAG